AAACUUUUCUUAAAUUUGUUAAAUUAUAUUGCAAAGUCAAAAAUUUCUUUAAUUUGUUAAAUUAUAUUGACCUAAAAAUAUAUUUUUUUUUUAUUCUGAACACUUUCAUUAAUUCCUUUAGAGAAAAUACUUGCUACUCCCCAAUGGAGCUUAUGGUUCUGUUGUUUGAAGUACAAUCUGCUACAAAGAGAGUCUGAUUAAAACCAGACCCUACUGCAAGUGGAUGGUGGGU
rnacentral:lncRNA from 1 species